rnacentral:rRNA from 1 species
UACGGGGGGGGCAAGCGUUGUUCGGAAUUACUGGGCGUAAAGGGCUCGUAGGUGGCCAACUAAGUCAGACGUGAAAUCCCUCGGCUUAACCGGGGAACUGCGUGUGAGACUGGCAGGCUCGAGGGCAGGAGAGGAACGCGGAAUUCCAGGUGUAGCGGUGAAAUGCGUAGAUAUCUGGAGGAACACCGGUGGCGAAGGCGGCGUUCUGGACUGUCUCUGACACUGAAGAACGAAAGCCAGGGGAGCAAACGGG